GACGAACGCUGGCGGCGUGCUUAACACAUGCAAGUCGAACGGAAAGGCCCUGCUUUUGUUGGUUUCUCGAUUGGCGAACGGGUGAGUAACACGUGAGUAACCUGCCCUUGACUUUGUGAUAACUUCAGGAAACUGGGGCUAAUACCGGAUAGGAUCUCCUGCUGCGUGGUGUGCGUUGGAAAGUUUCGGCUGUUGGGGAUGGACUCGCGGCUUAUCAGCUUGUUUGUGGGGUAGUGGCUUACCAAGGCUUUGACGGGUAGCCGGCCUGAGAGGGUGACCGGCCACAUUGGGACUGAGAUACGGACCAGACUCGUACGGGAGGCAGCAGUGGGGAAUAUUGCAUAAUGGGCGGAAGCCUGAUGCAGAAACGCCGCGUGCGGGAUGACGGCCUUCGGGUUGUAAACCGCUUUCGCAUGUGACGAAGCGUGAGUGACGGUAAUGGGUAAAGAAGCACCGGCUAACUACGUG
rnacentral:rRNA from 1 species